GCUACUUAAUUGAUUUUUAAUAGGAUGGGACCAACAAAAAUAAUUAUUUAAUUGGAUAGAAUUCAUCUUCCUAUGAGUGGCUGUAGAACUCUGCAACGUGAAACAAGAACAAUGGCGAAAACUCAGAAACAUCAGAAAGUAUGACUGUGUAUAUUUGUAUGAUUAUUGGUUUUCAUCUUUGAAGAAAAUGAAGUUUCAGAUUUAGCAGCAUGGAGAGAGAAAGAGACUUGAGGAGAGAGAGGACUCAAAAGGAGAGAUAAGAAAGAGAGUUAAGGCGUCGAGCGUCGAGAGAGACGGCGAGAGAAAAGAGAAUAGAUGCAUCUGGGUUUUCAGUUUUGAGAACUAAACAGGCCGCCCAGACCGCCCUGCGCAACGCCUAGACUGCCUAGGCGCCCUCUAGCCCGCCUAGGCUCCCGCUGAAUCCCAAACCAAUCUACCUUGUCGCCCAGCCCGAAAUCGGGGCGGUCAGCCUACGCCUAGCACCUAGGCGCUGCCUAGGCGGCCGCCCCGACCGUUUUUUAGAACAAUGGUUUCCCUGUCAAAACUCUUCCUCGUCCGGCGGUGUACCCUCUUCGGCGCGUGGCUCGUGCAGCCGGACGGGCUCUGGCCUUCGUGGUGAUGAUUCUUCCAGAUGGAAAGGAUGGUGGUGGUCGAGUUUGGGCCGCUGUUGAGACUGAACCACUCAAUCCCGAUCGGGUCGAUCGGAUCUCAGGUUGAGUGGGUUGGAUGGCCGGGUAGGCAGUGGUGCUUGGCAAGGAAUGGCAGGGGACAGGCGGUCUGGAGGGAUGAGGUGGAGGAUUUGCGUUGUUGAGGCCAUGGCGUCGUUCUGUGGUUCUGUUGGUCCGGUCUCUUCACCGGUGCUUGGGUUUCUGGGGGCCAGAUUGGUCGACGAUCUGAUCGUUAUGGUGGCUGGGCUCUGGACGGAGAUCGGGUCACGACGGAGGCGCGGUGAUGGUGGCGUUGUGGUGGCGGCGGUGUUGGUAUGGCUGUGGUGUAGUUGGAUUUGGCUGGAACCCUGCAUAUUCCUUGCUGGGCCGGGUGCUUCUUGGGCCUGGGCUUGGGCUCUGGUUUUAAAUUUAUUUAAUGUUAUAUUGAUAUUUUAUUGCUGUUUGGGUCCGGCCCACUAUUUGGGUCUGGCCCAAGCUGUUUUAUUUUUUACAAUUCUUAUUUUGUUAAGUUAUCUAGGUUGGAUGCGCUUUAUGCGACCAAUAAAAUCCUACAUAUAUUGUGUAGGCCUAAUCGGGCUAUGU